AGUAAGUCGGUCGGAGUACAACAGGGCUUAAUCCCAAGAAAGCGGGCAUAGUAGCCUAUGCUUAUAUGGGGCAUGCAUGUAUUUACCUGGUGGGUAAAAAACUGCUGCUCUCAAGUUUCUAGUCUGUUUCUCCAGUCAUCAACACAGAAAGAUGUAAUGGGAAAAGAUGACCAGUCUUACAUGGGCAUACCACUAUGAGAGCAGAUUUUCAAGUGUCAUUGAUGCUGUGUGCUAAAAGCAUGUGCUGACCUGAGCAAGUGCCCUGACCCAUGGUCAUACAACUUGAAUCUGGAAGGAGUUACUGAAAUUGAAGCUGUGAAGGUUUUAAGAAGAGGCUUGUGAAUAGAGUCAGAAGAUACUGAGCCAAAAUAGUUUAAAUCCCUUGAUGCAAGGUAUUGACGCUGUAUAUGUGUAAUUGGACCAUUUCCAAUAGGUUCUCUUUUUUGACAGGUCUUAGUAGUUGUUGUUGAACACACGUUGAAUCUCUGGCAUGUUUAUUUAAAAGAAUCUCUGGGAGACUCCUGGUGAAUCCUUGAAGAACUGCUGUCAGUCUGAGCAAGAGUACUUGGCUAAAUGGACCAAUGGUUUGACUCUGUAAAGGCAGCUCAAGUGACAUAGAGACCUUACACAACAUUGAUGCUGAAGGGGUAUUUGGCAUGGUGGACACAUAUGAAUGCUUCAACACCUGUCAAGUUUGGAGUGUCACGUUCUAGCUCAAGCUAAUCUCAACCUGUUGUGAGAUACUAUCUGGAUACAUGUUAGAAUAUUCACAGGACCUAGAUAACCAAAAACCCCUGAAAACUAUGACUUCAAUGCACAAAAACAAUAAAGUUAAUGGAUUUUUAUGAUCA